ACUCCUACGGGAGGCAGCAGUGGGGAAUAUUGGACAAUGGGCGGAAAGCCUGAUCCAGCAAUGCCGCGUGAGUGAUGAAGGCCUUAGGUUGUAAGCUCUUUUACCCCGGGUAUGAUAAUGACAGUACCGGGAGAAUAAGCUCCGGCUAACUCCGUGCCAGCAGCCGCGGUAAUACGGAGGAGCUAGCGUUGUUUCGGAUUACUGGCGUAAAGCGCACGUAGGCGGCUUUUGUAAGUCAGAGGUGAAAGCCUGGAGCUCAACUCCAGAACUGCCUUUUGAGACUGCAUCGCUUGAAUCCAGGAGAGGUGAGUGGAAUUCCGAGUGUAGAGGUGAAAUUCGUAGAUAUUCGG
rnacentral:rRNA from 1 species